AAGAGAACAAUCACGGUUAUUUAAUGAGUUAGUAAUUAGAGUUUGAUUGAGACUCAAUUGCUGAUAUUUUAUCGAAGUUGAGUCCUUGAAUAAUAAAAACUCUAACCCAAUUCUUUAUCCGGAUUGUGUCCUCUUCCUAUAACGAAACUUCCUCUCCUCACCCAAUAUGCAACCUUUUCGAUCAGUUCAGAAGAUAUUGCUACUUGAUCCUUGAGACUUUUCUUCUUCACGUGCAACUCACAUGUAUAGGUUGAUAGACACUAUGUCUCCCAUCUCCUUAAACAAUACAAACUCCAACCUUUUCCUUUAUCUGGAUUAUGUUCUCUUCCUAGAAGGAAACUUCCUCUCCUUAUUCAACAUGCAACAUUUUUUAUCAGUUCAGAAGAUAUUGUUGCUUGAUCCUUGAGACUUAUCUUCUUCAUGUGCAACUCACAUGUGUAGGUUGAUAAAUAGUGUGUCUCACAUGAUGGACCUGGUGCAUGACUGAGGUCAUUUGUCAUUCUUCAAAACUUCACAUGAACUUGGGCCAACAACAUUGAAAUAAAUAUUAACAGAAAAUUAAGUUGCUCAGCCCCAAACUCCAUCGACUUUGUUCAAGAACAAACCCUAUAAACAAUGUGUCUCUUAUGAUAAACCUGGUCCACGCUGAGUUUAUUUGUCAUUCUUCAAAACU
rnacentral:lncRNA from 1 species